AUGAACUCUGAAAAUGGUGAAAAUGAGUGCGUGAAGAAGAAGAAUGAGUUAAGUAGUUAUGUUAGGGUUUCUGUUAGUUAUUGUUUUCAUGGUAGGGCGGGAACUUUGGUUUAUUUGUUUGACAUGUUUAUGGACAGUGUAGAUGUAGGUCAUGGUUGGGACUGGACUGUUUUGAUGUUUGGAACUGGUAUUGCUUGGUAUUUGUGUGUGUUGCAUGUUAUAGCCAUGGCAGAUGAUGGUUCUUAA